rnacentral:rRNA from 1 species
UACUCUAGCAGGGGAUAACAUUGGAAACAGAUGCUAAUACCGUAUAACAAUGACAACCGCAUGGUGUUAUUUAAAAGAUGGUUCUGCUAUCACUAAGAGAUGGUCCCGCGGUGCAUUAGCUAGUUGGUAAGGUAAUGGCUUACCAAGGCGAUGAUGCAUAGCCGAGUUGAGAGACUGAUCGGCCACAAUGGGACUGAGACACGGCCCAUACUCUACGGGAGGCAGCAGUAGGGAAUCUUCCACAAUGGGCGAAAGCCUGAUGGAGCAACGCCGCGUGUGUGAUGAAGGGUUUCGGCUCGUAAAAACACUGUUGUAAGAGAAGAAUGACAUUGAGAGUAACUGUUCAAUGUGUGACGGUAUCUUACCAGAAAGGAACGGCUAAAUACGUGCCAGCAGCCGCGGUAAUACGUAUGUUCCAAGCGUUAUCCGGAUUUAUUGGGCGUAAAGCGAGCGCAGACGGUUAUUUAAGUCUGAAGUGAAAGCCCUCAGCUCAACUGAGGAAUUGCUUUGGAAACUGGAUGACUUGAGUGCAGUAGAGGAAAGUGGAACUCCAUGUGUAGCGGUGAAAUGCGUAGAUAUAUGGA